CCACUCGGCCGGCCCUGGAUGCUGUUUUCUAUGUUAUUGUUAUUAACAACAAUAAUUCCUCGGCUUACUGAAUGUGGGCUUCUGAAGCCUCUCACGAUGGGAUCUCCACACACACCUGUGUGGCUACCUCGUUUCAUACGCGAGGAAACAGGCCUGUAUGUGGCGAGCUGCGCUGGUGGCCCACCGGGCCUGUGGCUCCGGGGCUGACAUCCCUCAGCGCUACCCCUAGCUCGGCCACCCCACAUUCGCCCACACAGCCCAGCGUCUAGAACCCCUGCCCGGCUGAGGGCUGUGGGGCUUCAGGCAGCUCUAAUUAAAUGUAUGCUUCCAGGGGGACUGACUGGCAGGAAGGCAGCUGCCCCCAUCUCUCGCUCCUCAUCUCUCUCCGCUUCACCCGCCCUUGUUCUGCGAUGCGAGCUGCCGGAGGGAAAUCAUGUCACUUAAGAAGCACAGAAGCCAGUUCGACUCACGUUGGCAAUUUGUUGUCUAAUCAAAACCAUUACAAUUUGUAGCUGGGGGUCUUGAUUGUGCCUCUCCAGCAGGCACCCCGGUCCGAUCUUCAUGCCUGAUUUUUUUAUUUAAUCUUUUCCCACUUUUCUUCCUGAUUUCUAGGUCAGAGAGUUUGAGACUCCUUCUUGCUUCAAACUGGCUCAGGGGUUUUGUCUGGCAUGAGGUUUUCCCUGGAGGGCGAGGGGUGGGGUGUCCUGCCUUUCAGAGGGGCCGAAAGUCCACUGGACUGCAUUCUCCCCAUUCUUCAAUUCUUCGCGGGCCCCCACGGUGCAGGGGAGGGGCCGGGGCCAUUCUUCUUAACCUCUCUUGAACCUUCGCCCCCUGCCGAGCCAAAGGUUAAGGGUCAUUUUCCUCAGCUCCUCUCCACCGCUCACUCUUUGUGCCGGAGGCGCAGACAGAAAGCCAGGGAAGACCUCAGCCCUGGCCUCUGAAACAGCAUUUACAAUCACAGGUCUGUCUGUCUUUGGAGGAAAGACAGUCACAUCAGGGGUCUCCUGUCCUGAUGUGGGGACAGUGUCAGCUUUGAGCUGGAGAGAUGGGCAGUAAGGGUACAGAAAAGAGAUGAGAGCGAGAACUGUAACAGUGCUAAGAUGGGGGGCCUGGCUCUGCGCCUUUGAAGAAAGAGACAGGAGUGACUGGUCAGUGGUCACGCCCUUGCCUGUGUCCAUCCUGUGGUGGGGGGACGGCGUUGUCUGACACCCCCUUCUCCCGAACCUGUCUUUCUCCAAAGUGGUAAUACCCAAAGCCUGCUUUUCCUAGAGAAUGAAAGCUGGGGGACGGCAAGGCCUGCAGGGUUUCGAUGGCCCCGAGGAGGAAAUCAAGCUUCUGUCCUGCCCUCAGGGGCCAUGGACUCACCCUUCUGGCUUUAGAUGGUGUGUGCGGGUCCCCAGUUCUGAAAAUCCCAGCAACCAUCCAGAACCUUCUGUCAGCCUCUGUCUUCAGGCGAUAAUGUCUAGAACCUUCUGAUGGAAGGCAAGCUCCCUGAAUUCCAGCUUUUUUUUUUUUUUUCUUUUUUAAGGAGGGUGCAGCUCACAGUGGCCCAUACUGGGAUUGAACCGGCAACCUUGGUGUUAUUAGCACCGCGCUCUAACCAGCUGAGCUAACCAGCCGCCCCACUCAGCUCUUUUUUAUUUGCACGUUUCCCAUGGUGAUGCAAGUUAAAAACAGCUGGGAAACACAGGAGAGAUGAACAAGGACAAUCAGAGCGCUGGUGACCUGGAGACCAGGGUAAGUGCCCUGGAAAGCGUCGCUUCUGUCCGUGCCAUGGGGCCAAGCUGUGCACGUACAGAUGUCAUUCAGACACGAGCAGGAACCUCGCACGUGGCGGUUUGAGUCCUGCCUGCCCACUUAGUGUGCGUGCGGUGGCCAUUUUCUCAUCAUUUGAACCUUUCUUCUCAACAAUGUCAAACAGCUGCAAACCUUCCGCCAUCAGGAGGCGUUACGAUGUUUUGUUCUUGCUCUUAAAGCUCAACACACAAGAGUCUGGACGCAGCUCAGGGUCCUGUCAGCUCACUUCCUAGGCGGGAGCUCAGGCACAGGGGCGGGGCUGGGGACACGGAAGUCUCCCCCCACCGGCUUCCCUCUGGGGCCGGUGUGGGGGCAAGUAUGGCUGUGAGGAUUCCCUGUGGUCUGGACGCCGGGGUUGGCAGGGUCCACAUGUACUUACUCUGCCACAAGUCACGGGUCCUGCCCACUGGAGUCACCCAAACGGGACAGAGGUCCCCUUGAAUGGAGGCCAUCGGGUGUGGCAGUGCCACCUGUGGGUGGAAAACACAAAUUGGGCAGCAGUGUUUACAUCAAGUCCCCUGUGAUUUUCUGAGCUGGAGGAGGCAGAGGCGACUUGUGCUGUGAGCAGCUUUCAGCACUAAGGGAGCCUUUCCGGGAGCUGUGCCCACGCUGAGUGCUCACAGCCACUGCCUUUUCAUCCAUAAGCGUGUCAGAACUCUCUUCCCACUGAGAUUUCAAUACUGAUGUUUGGUUAGGGAUUAUGUUCCUGUCACGUUUCAGUUGUUUUUUAAAGGGAACAGAUAUUGUAGUAAGAAAGAAAUGGGCAAAGUUACUUAAAACAGAGAGACCUUUAGGCUCCUGCUGUAGGUUUUUACCGACAUGAGUGGUAAACUUCAGUUUUGUGGCACUCGUGGCUACUUGGAAGCCAGGUGCGUGCUCUCAGAGAACGCCGGCGUGAUUUGUCCCACGUGACAGGUGUGGCAAGUCAGCCUUGCAAGGCGAGGAGUCAUUCCUGCCACGUAGACCCCAAAACUCAGUGGGUCGUUCUCACAAGAGUGACUGAUCUGCACAAAACCUCUUUCCUUUGUGACCAAUGGUGGGACACCAAGGGUGGUGCCGCGCUCAGGGUGCCGACGGCCGCGUGGCUGCCCCACCCCUGUCGCAGCCACAGUUGUUGGUUCUGUUUAUGUCUCUAAAGCAGGCUGAGCUGCGUGAGUUCGUCUGAACUCUGCAGAAACAUCAGAGUGGCUUUAAACCUACAUCAUCACUGAAGGUGACGUUUUUAUCGGACUUGAGGGGGAGCCACCAAUUUCAAACAGACGAAAAAUGCCCCUUGUUUUCCAGGCGGGAUGGUUCUUUCCGGGUGUGUUAGAAGGGCCAUCAGUGUGGGAGCGAGGGAGGAACAGGCCCAUGAAAUCUACUUCCAGGAAGGUUCCAGGACAAGGCCUCCGUCUGGGGGGCCCUGUGAGGCUGCUGCAUGUCCCUCUCCACUCACCACUGUGUUCAUUCAGCGCAGAGCCAAACAGGGAAGAGGGUCCCCAAAUAUGGGUCAGAGUGUCCACGGGAAAUGUCCUCAUGUUUGUUUGUGUCACCCCUGGCCGCACAUGCCUGCGAAUGGGACACAGAAGGCCCAGGCCGCGGGGCACCGUCCCCUGUUCAGGGUCUGGGCUGCCUCCAGCCCCAGGCACAUCAGUGCCCUCGCGGUUUUUCUAGAAGAUUCCCUGUGAGCUUGUUCUGGUGACCAUCGUGUGUGUCAGAAAGCCUUAGGCAGACCCCCUGGACAUAAGGGGGCCAGCGGCCCAGCGGCUGAUGGGGGCAUCAUUGGACAUCUUCACGUGGGAUGGACACGUAGCAGACAGGAAAACCCCCAGUGCCUCCCAGUUAAAGGAAGACAGGGUGGUGUUUGUUGUGUGUGACGUGGCCGUUCAGAAUCACAAGACAGGACGCAGAGUUCACCCACGGCAGAGACGGCGCCUGGCGGCCCGGGGCGCGGGUCGCAGUGUGGCCUCAGCCCAGGCGGCCGGUGCUGCGCCCGCCCGACCCCGUCCCUGUACUUGCUAGAGGACAGGUGCGGACUGCACGUGUCAGGAGGGGGCUGGAGGUUAGACUAUGACCCCAGCCAAUCUGUCUAAAAAGACAAACGAACCGUUAUUUCAAAAUUGAGACUCCCACCCGCCGCAUUUAGGAAGCGCCGGUGGCAUUGAGUGGCGCCUGCCCUGUCCUGCCGCGUGGGUGGACAGCACAUUGUUCUGGCCGCUCCACGCCCCGUCAGAUCGCAUGGCGGGUUCCCGAUGUGUUGGUGGGGCGCUCAGGCCGGAGGGGGCGCGUGGGCCGUGCUCGUCCACACAGCUCUGCAGCCGCUCGUGAUGGGAGGAGGAAAGGAGCCAUUUUCACACGACAGCCCCUCUGGUGCCAGCCGAGCUCCCUCUCCUGGUGCAGACGCCAGCAGCCUUGCGCACAUCGCAUGAUUUUUGUAAAGAAUACUUGCUGGUGAGAGAUGGUGUUAUUUUGCUUUCAGAACCUGGUGCUUUGCAGUCACAUCCACAGGGCAGUGUGGCAGCGGCUGCUGCUCUAAAGACACGGGCCUCGCCCCCGAUUUUUGCUGACAUUUUGUGACUCUAAGUCACCUCCUCCGGCCUGAGCUCAUGUAAUAGUUCAUAAAAAGCCAUGCAGACGUGUGGACGUGCGAGCUGCCGGCCCCGCCCCUCCCUCCGGCGGGCGGAGGCGGCGCCCGAUUGGCUGCAGGUUGCCAGGACUCGGUUGCUAGGAUCCUGCCUGUCUAUAGCCCCUGCAGGAAACGCAUCAUGAAUUAUGGAUGGUUGAUUUUCUCUGGAGGCCUAAUCUGUAAUGCAGAUGAGCUGCAAGUCCCCCCUUUUCUUCUGGCUUCUUAAGGGGGGGAAAAAAAAAUCAGAGUUUUAAAUCAGAAGCUGGCAUUUACAAAGUCCCAGUGCCACUAGCCGAGGCCCAAGCCGCUGAUGUUAAUUCUUAUGCAAAAAGGGGGCCAGAGGUCAGUGUCUGUUAUUUGCUCUGGAAAAGCUUGUAGGAUUCUCACUGACCUCUGUGACCCUUCGGGGGCCUCUUUCAUUGUGUGUGAUCAGAGACAAAAAGGGGUAUAAACACGAGAAGUGGCAUUAUCUGAAUAUAAGAGCCGCGAGGGCCCAGGGCCCUGGCUGCCAGACCAGUGAGGCCCUGUCCCUCCCGCCCUGUCGCCCAACGCCAGCCCAGAGGCCAUGAGGCCGCUCCUGAGGACGCCUCUGCCUGCCCUCUGCCCGGCGCUGACCACUGCAGGCUCUCCGAUUACCAGCCCCCCCAGCUUUCCGUUGGAGAGGGCUUGUGCCCCCUUUCCGGGGGCUGUCACAUUUCCAGGGGCCUGUGCUCCUAGGAUGCCAUCCACACGGUGGCCUCAGUGGAGAGAGAGGAGGGGUCAGAGGGCUGGGCUCCCGCCUGCCCCUCCCCACGAGGUGGGGCCUUCCCUGCCCGCACCCAGGGGCACACGUCCUGCACGGCGGGGGUCAGCAGGGGCCGUGCUGCCUCACCUGGGCACUAGUGACCACAGGCCGCUGUCCUCCCUGGGGUCCCCCAAGCAGGAGGACUCAGGACCGUCAGAGGGCCGCGUGCUGCUGAGGGCAGAUUCCAGAAGGAACCGCGUGUGCUUGGAGUCCAGGCCCCCACCUGCCUUGGCCCUGAGUAACCAGCCGGAAGGCAAAGUGUCACCUCCCAGCACCCCUGUUCUUGUGAAUGCCGCUGAGAUGGGGGGGGGGCCUGGGACCCACACAGCCCUGAAGACGAUGGGCCAGUUUCCUGGGAGGCCCCAGGCUCGGCUGGCAACGAUGGAAGACGCCUGGCACCACCACCCAGCCAGCCAGCCGGUCCUCUGGCCGCCACAGAGGGACCACCAUCACCACCAGAAAGAAAGUGGAGGAAAGAACUUGAUUUGAGAGGCUCACCUUUAUUCCAGAACGACGGAGAAGCAGGCUCGGUGAGGAUUGCAUCCGUACCUGCUGUGCGGUGGCCGGGUCAGGGCACAGCAGUGACAGGAGCUGUGCGCCUCACAGGACACGGGACACGUGUCUCAAGUUUGACCCUUUCUUUCCUUUUACUGAGGGAACAAACGGACGUUGUUUUCAGAAUCCAGGGACUAGUUUCAUGAAGAGCCUCGGCUCACCUAUGCCGCUCAGGGUCAGGCGGAGAUGCCAGUAGCUGGUCAGAGCUGGGGGGGGACGCCGUCCUCCGCAGGCCAUGUCACGGGGGCCCCGUGCCCAUCACCCUGCCCGGAGGUGCUGGGCCGUAGACAGAAGGCCCGACGGGGCUUUGGCUCCUGUCUGCCCCCUGGCACCGCCCCGUGGCAGGUGGGCAGUACCUCACAUCUGGAGGGUGGCACAGGUUUAAAAAUAGAAGGCGUCUCCAUGGCACCUGGAAACCGCAGGCUGGAGAUAAGUGGGGCUGACCCGCAGCCGCACGGCCGGGUCCCCCCCUUCUCAGAGCACUUGCUGGGUAACGGGCUCCCCUUCUGCAGGGGGACUGUCUCCGUGCCUCACGGUCUCCACGUCCUGUCUUCCGUCCGCGCGCCCGGCGCAGUCCAAGCACAAGGACAGAAGCCGGGGGAAUAUGUGUCAUUUCAUGAAGACUAAGUGGCCACAGCCAGUUCCCCGCGCCUCUCACCUAUCUGUGGUGUGAAAUCCAGCCUCCGGCUUUGCUUUCGGGUCUCAGCUGGGAGGACGGAGUGCUGUCUGGCCGCUGACUUUGAAGCUGGUGACAGCCGCGCCUGCGGGCCAGGGAGUGGGGGUGACAGCUGCUGGGCCCCAGGGCCUGGAGGCCACGGAGCUGGGAUCAGGCGCCUGCUGCUGACACGUCUGGAACUGGGGCUGAGCCACUGACUCCUGUCUUGACAGGGACACGUGAGUGGGUCCUGUGAGUAUUGCAUACAUGAAAAACAGACUCUGCCUAUGCUCCUGGGACAAACCGAGCCGCAGACAUGAAGUCACGUGCUGGACGGUGCCGUUCUGCACAGCAGCAGAGCAGGAGGGGCACCCCACAUCCCUCGGGCCAGCAGCCUCCCCCCAGUACCCCCAGGGAGCAGCUCGCAAAGCCCAGCAGGGAAGUGGGGUUUGGACGGGCCCACAGCGGACACCUGCAUGGCCCCUGCCCUCCCUCUGCCCUUGUCUGUCGCCCACCGGCGGGCACCGUGUGGCACUCUUGCUCUGAGCCGGCUUGGUCACACCUGGUGGUCCGCGCACCCAGACGUCCUCCGUCGCUCACGCUCCUUAAGGGUGAGAGCCCAACCCCACCCAGCAGGACCCCGGCACUUGCUUAUCCGUGGAAACAGCCCCCCUGGCCUCCCUCUGGCUCCUGCUUCCUGGGAACACCUGUGGAGACCCCAGGUCGCGUCCCCUCGUCUUCACGUGCUCAGCAUGUACCUGACUUACCCUUUGCCUCCCUUUUGAGUUUUAAGAUCAUUUUACUUCAGACAUGUUCUUAUAAAUGAUGUCUGUUUUUUUCUAAACUCCUAAACUCCAAUUUGAGAUUCCACUUUAACUGAUGAGUUCAGUUGCCACUGGAGCCAGCAUCCUGCUUCAGGCUCUCCUGGGGACGCAGGGUGCCCGUUGGCCUCAGGCUGGUUCAGGGGUACAGACCCGCUCCUUAUAUGUGCCAGGCUCCUGGCGAGCGCCAGAGAGGCCACGUACCUGCCACCGAAACGUGCCCCUCCGUGCGCUGUGACAGCGCCCUCAUAGGCUGAGGCCAGAGUGAGCCUGAGCUACUAUGUUGCAUGUCCUGUUGGAUGGGACUUAAAAGGCAAGUGUACCCUAUAAAUUGUUACAAACUUUGCAGUUCCUUUUCUUUAUCUCAGUAAAAUUGUUUCGCAGCCUGACCCUGGGGGCUUGGGGAGCAGAGCCGCAGGGGACAGCCCAGCUCUGUGGACCCUUCAGCCGAUGUGGUAAGAACGUAGGUUAGAGCCUGAUGGAGGCAUGUGGUCAGUGGCAGCCCCGGCCCUGACCCGAGCGAGGCUGCAUUUCUGCGUGAGGGACGCACAGCUUCAGCCUGCGCUGCACAGGCCAGGGUUCCUGGGACACACCAGCCAUGCUGUGCUCCUCCUUCCUGAUGUGACUCGGCCCCCGGGUCACUCAGCGCGUCUGGGCCCGAGGCCUGCCAGCAGGUGACGGCGGUGCUCCGUGCAGGGCCAGGCUGGUCACGGCAUUUGCCUGGGAUGGUGGGUGGGUGGGUGUGUGUGCCUGUGUGUGCGUGUCCUUGUAAGAUAUUUUUCAGGACAAGCUGCUGUUCCUCUGCAUUAAAAUAACAGCCUAAUUAAUUUUCCUA